rnacentral:rRNA from 1 species
UACGGAGGGGGCUAGCGUUGUUCGGAAUUACUGGGCGUAAAGCGCACGUAGGCGGCUUUGUAAGUUAGAGGUGAAAGCCCGGGGCUCAACUCCGGAAUUGCCUUUAAGACUGCAUCGCUAGAAUUGUGGAGAGGUAAGUGGAAUUCCGAGUGUAGAGGUGAAAUUCGUAGAUAUUCGGAAGAACACCAGUGGCGAAGGCGACUUAGUGGACACAUAUUGACGCUGAGGUGCGAAAGCGUGGGGAGCAAACAGG